rnacentral:rRNA from 1 species
GACGAACGCUGGCGGCGUGCUUAACACAUGCGAGUCGAACGGAAAGGCCCUGCUUUUGUGGGGUGCUCGAGUGGCGAACGGGUGAGUAACACGGGAGUAACCUGCCCUUGACUUUGGGAUAACUUGAGGAAACUGGGGCUAAUACCGGAUAGGAGCGCCUGCUGCAGGGUGGGGGUUGGAAAGUUUCGGCGGUUGGGGAUGGACUCGCGGCUUAUCAGCUUGUUGGUGGGGUAGUGGCUUACCAAGGCUUUGACGGGUAGCCGGCCUGAGAGGGUGACCGGCCACAGUGGGCCUGGGAUACGGCCCAGACUCCUACGGGAGGCAGCAGUGGGGAAUAUUGCACAAUGGGCGGAAGCCUGAUGCAGCAACGCCGCGUGCGGGAUGACGGCCUUCGGGUUGUAAACCGCUUUCGCCUGUGACGAAGCGUGAGUGACGGUAAUGGGUAAAGAAGCACCGGCUAACUACGUG